rnacentral:tRNA from 1 species
GCCUUCGUGGUAUAGUGGUCAGCACGCUCGGCGCUUAUGUCGAGAGAUCCGUGGUUCGAGUCCCGGAGAGGGCA